UUCUCUAAUGAUGAUUGGCGUUAUGUUCAACUGCUCUGAAAAGCUGUGAUUGAACACUGCCUUUCUGAAUGGAC
ensembl:snoRNA